AUUGAACGCUGGCGGCAGGCCUAACACAUGCAAGUCGAGCGGAUGAAGGGAGCUUGCUCCUGGAUUCAGCGGCGGACGGGUGAGUAAUGCCUAGGAAUCUGCCUGGUAGUGGGGGAUAACGUCCGGAAACGGGCGCUAAUACCGCAUACGUCCUGAGGGAGAAAGUGGGGGAUCUUCGGACCUCACGCUAUCAGAUGAGCCUAGGUCGGAUUAGCUAGUUGGUGGGGUAAAGGCCUACCAAGGCGACGAUCCGUAACUGGUCUGAGAGGAUGAUCGGUCACACUGGAACUGAGACACGGUCCAGACUCCUACGGGAGGCAGCAGUGGGGAAUAUUGGACAAUGGGCGAAAGCCUGAUCCAGCCAUGCCGCGUGUGUGAAGAAGGUCUUCGGAUUGUAAAGCACUUUAAGUUGGGAGGAAGGGCAGUAAGUUAAUACCUCGCUGUUUUGACGUUACCAACAGAAUAAGCACCGGCUAACUUCGUG
rnacentral:rRNA from 1 species